GCGUAGGUGGUUAGGUAAGCGAGAUGUGAAAGCCCCGGGCUUAACCUGGGAACGGCAUUUCGAACUGUCUGACUAGAGUAUGGUAGAGGGUAGUGGAAUUUCCUGUGUAGCGGUGAAAUGCGUAGAUAUAGGAAGGAACACCAGUGGCGAAGGCGGCUACCUGGACCAAUACUGACACUGAGGUGCGAAAGCGUGGGGAGCAAACA
rnacentral:rRNA from 1 species